UACGAAGGGGGCUAGCGUUUCUCGGAAUCACUGGGCGUAAAGCGCACGUAGGCGGAUCUUUAAGUCAGGGGUGAAAUCCUGGAGCUCAACUCCAGAACUGCCUUUGAUACUGGGGAUCUCGAGUCCGGAAGAGGUGAGUGGAACUCCGAGUGUAGAGGUGAAAUUCGUAGAUAUUCGGAAGAACACCAGUGGCGAAGGCGGCUCACUGGUCCGGUACUGACGCUGAGGUGCGAAAGCGUGGGGAGCAAACAGG
rnacentral:rRNA from 1 species